AACGAACGCUGGCGGCAGGCCUAACACAUGCAAGUCGAACGCUCCGCAAGGGGAGUGGCGCACGGGUGAGUAACACGUGGGAACCUACCUUCUGGUACGGAACAACCAAGGGAAACUCUGGCUGAUACCGUAUACGACCUCCGGGUGAAAGAUUGAUCGCCGGAAGAGGGGCCCGCGUCCGAUUAGGUAGUUGGUGAGGUAACGGCUCACCAAGCCUGCGAUCGGUAGCUGGUCUGAGAGGAUGACCAGCCACACUGGGACUGAGACACGGCCCAGACUCCUACGGGAGGCAGCAGUGGGGAAUCUUGCGCAAUGGGCGAAAGCCUGACGCAGCGACGCCGCGUGGGGAGUGACGGCC
rnacentral:rRNA from 1 species